AUACGUAGGGAGCGAGCGUUGUCCGGAAUUACUGGGUGUAAAGGGAGCGUAGGCGGGAGUGCAAGUCAGAUGUGAAAUACAUGGGCUCAACCCAUGGGCUGCAUUUGAAACUGCAUUUCUUGAGUGAAGUAGAGGUAAGCGGAAUUCCUGGUGUAGCGGUGAAAUGCGUAGAUAUCAGGAGGAACACCGGUGGCGAAGGCGGCUUACUGGGCUUUUACUGAAGCUGAGGCUCGAAAGCGUGGGGAGCAAACAGGAUUAGAUUCCCUGGUAGUCCACGCUGUAAACGAUGAUUACUAGGUGUGGGGGGACUGACCCCUUCCGUGCCGCAGUUAACACAAUAAGUAAUCCACCUGGGGAGUACGGCCGCAAGGUUGAAACUCAAAUGAAUUGACGGGG
rnacentral:rRNA from 1 species